UACGUAGGGGGCAAGCGUUGUCCGGAAUCAUUGGGCGUAAAGAGCGUGUAGGCGGUCCGGUAAGUCGGCUGUGAAAGUCCAGGGCUCAACCCUGGGAUGCCGGUCGAUACUGCCGGACUAGAGUUCGGAAGAGGCGAGUGGAAUUCCAGGUGUAGCGGUGAAAUGCGUAGAUAUCUGGAGGAACACCGGUGGCGAAGGCGGCAUCCUGGACCGGCAUUGACGCUGAUGAGCGAAAGGCCAGGGGAGACAAGCGGG
rnacentral:rRNA from 1 species